rnacentral:rRNA from 1 species
ACGGCUCAGUAACACGUAGCUAAUCUAACCUUAGAUCAAGGAUACUCUCGGGAAACUGAGAAUAAUACGUGAUAGGAGAUUAUUUCUGGAAAGAUUUCUCUCUGAAAUUCGAGCCUAAGGAUGAGGCUGCGGCGGAUUAGGUAGUUGUUGGUGUAAUGGACCAACAAGCCAAAGAUCCGUAAGGGCCUUUAGCGAGGGAGCCCUGAGAAGGAAUCUGAGACACUAUUCCUAGCCCUACGGGGUGCAGCAGGUAAGCGUAUUCUGCAAUGCGCGAAAGCGUGACAGAGCGAGUCAGAGUGUUUUUCCGUAAAGGAAAAACUUUUGCCAAAUCCAAAAAGUUUGGCGAAUAAGGACUGGGCAAGACCGGUGCCAGCCGCCGCGGUAAUCCCGGCAGUCCAAGUCGCAACCACAAUUAUUGGGUCUAAAACAUCCGUAGCUUGCUUUAUAAGUCUCUUGUGAAAUUCUGUCUCUUAAGGGCAGAUCGUGCAAGAGAUACUGUUUAGCUAGAGACCGGAGGAUGUGAAGAGUACAGCUGAGGUAGUGGUAAAAUAUUUUAAUCUUAGCUGGACUAACAACAGCGAAGGCACUUUACAAAUACGGUUCUGACAGUGAGGGAUGAAGGCUAGGGGCGCAAAAUGGAUUAGAUACCCAUGUAGUCCUAGCAGUAAACACUGCACACUAAACAUCAGUGCCUCCUCGAGAGGCAUUGGUGCUGUAGAGAAGUCGAAGAGUGUGCUACCUGGGAAGUAUAGCCGCAAGGCCGAAACUUAAAGGAAUUGGCGGGGGAGCAC